ACGAUGUCCCCAGAACGGUAGGUGCUUGCAUUUACUGGAGGGGAUGUCCCCCUCACCCUAUUUGUGGCUAAACAGAGAGCUUCCUCAGGAAUAUAGGCCUCACCCUGCCCAGUGCUGGCUCCUUCAGGAUGGGCCUAGGUCGGCUUCAUGGCCCUUUGCCAGACUUCUUGGAGCUUAAUUGGAUAAUGAACUGCAUGGAGUGAGGGAGAUAUCCUGAGUGUGAUCCAUCUGCUGUGUUCCAAGGAUCUGCCACUUAUGGGAGCUCGAAAAGCAGAUUCCAGGCAGAUGAACAAAGAGGAGCAAGAACCCUUCAGCAGCGUGGAGCAGCUAGACACCUGGAACCCAGGAUGCAUUCCAUGUGGUGACUAAGUUCCUGAAGCAGAUGUGGACAACCAAACAUUGAUGGACAACCAAAGGGAUCUAUCAAAUGUGGCAUGCUCAGGCCAUCACUCUUUCCAGCAUUGCCAUAUAGUUCCCAUUGCCUGAAAGGUCACCUGGAGAGAAGUUCUUUCCUGCACUGGAUUCUAUGUGGACUUGGUUGGUUUCUUGUGCUUUGGGUAUCAGGGAAUCCAUAGUCACAGCAUUCAGUUGUGGCUUUGGAUGCCUCAGAAAUGUGCCCUCAGAAGGCUUGGGGCACUAUGUCUUCCUGACUUUGCUGCUAUAUGACAAUGAGUUAUCUUCUACUUUAUGGAAACUGCCUGCAGUCUGCCCCUCCCACAAGUAUAGCACUGGAACACCUCUGGUUUGAGCCACUGUUAGUCAGCUUUCUGUUGCUGGGACAAAAUACCUGAGGUAAUUAAC